GACGAACGCUGGCGGCGUGCUUAACACAUGCAGGUCGAACGGAAAGGCCCUGCUUUUGUGGGGUGCUCGAGUGGCGAACGGGUGAGUAACACGUGAGUAACCUGCCCUUGACUUUGGGAUAACUUCAGGAAACUGGGGCUAAUACCGGGUAGGAGCUCCUGCUGCAUGGUGGGGGUUGGAAAGUUUCGGCGGUUGGGGAUGGACUCGCGGCUUAUCAGCUUGUUGGUGGGGUAGUGGCUUACCAAGGCUUUGACGGGUAGCCGGCCUGAGAGGGUGACCGGCCACAUUGGGACUGAGAUACGGCCCAGACUCCUACGGGAGGCAGCAGUGGGGAAUAUUGCACAAUGGGCGGAAGCCUGAUGCAGCAACGCCGCGUGCGGGAUGACGGCCUUCGGGUUGUAAACCGCUUUCGCCUGCGACGAAGCGUGAGUGACGGUAAUGGGUAAAGAAGCACCGGCUAACUACGUG
rnacentral:rRNA from 1 species